GAUGAAGAACGCAGCGAAAUGCGAUAAGUAAUGUGAAUUGCAGAAUUCAGUGAAUCAUCGAAUCUUUGAACGCACAUUGCGCCCGUCAGUAUUCUGGCGGGCAUGCCUGUUCGAGCGACAUUACGCCCCUCAAGUCCCCUGUGGACUUGGUGUUGGGGAUCGGCGAGGCUGGUUUUCCAGCACAGCCGUCCCUUAAAUUAAUUGGCGGUCUCGCCGUGGCCCUCCUCUGCGCAGUAGUAAAACACUCGCAACAGGAGCCCGGCGCGGUCCACUGCCGUAAAACCCCCCAACUUUUUAUAGUUGACCUCGAAUCAGGUAGGACUACCCGCUGAACUUAAGCAUAUCAAUAAGCGGAGGA
rnacentral:misc_RNA from 1 species